GCUAAUUUUAUAAAUUCAGCAGACGACAUUUUAGCAGACGACAAAUUUCCCAGCAUGCAAAGGGUUAAGACUAAGCAUUUCUCCAGAGCAUGGCUCAUAUGUAUUUGGAAAGGUUGCAAUAACCAUAUACCAAUGUGCAUUGUGUACUGACACAAAGGUUGCAAUAACCAUAUACCAAUGUGCAUUGUGUACUGACACAAAGGUUGCAAUAACCAUAUACCAAUGUGCAUUGUGUACUGACACAAAGGUUGCAAUAACCAUAUACCAAUGUGCAUUGUGUACUGACACAAAGGUUGCAAUAACCAUAUACCAAUGUGCAUUGUGUACUGACACUUUGCAAUAACCAUAUACCAAUGUGCAUUGUGUACUG